GCAGACGGUGGGACAGACCUACAAAAAGACACAGGCGAGACAGACAAGUGAGAUACUGAUAGCUGAGACUAAUGGGUCAGACAUGGGACACAGCCACGUGAGACAGACUGGUGAUAUGAGAAAAACAGGAAGCUGCUGUCGGCCGAGCUGCCGAGCGAUACUACCAGCUGUUGGAAACAGGAAGUGACCCGACUGAGAGCAUCCUGACCACGCUCACACUCGGCGUGCCGUCGCCGCCCUCCUGCCAGCUCGCCCACAGAUCGGCGCCACCGACUCAUGAUGUCAUUACCAGCCUGAUGACAGGUAAAACAGCGUGCGUGUGCGGGCAGCCUCCAUCAGCUCAUGGCACAGACACUGACAGAAGCCGUAGAGGACAAGCAGCAGCAGUGUGCAUGGGACCAGACUGACGAGGAUGACGCCCAGCCACAGCUGACC